rnacentral:rRNA from 1 species
CCAAAGCUGGCGACCGGCGCACGGUGAGUAACACGUAUCCAACCUGCCGAUAACUCGGGGAUAGCCUUUCGAAAGAAAGAUUAAUACCCGAUGGCAUAAUUAGACCGCAUGGUCUUAUUAUUAAAGAAUUUCGGUUAUCGAUGGGGAUGCGUUCCAUUAGGCAGUUGGUGAGGUAACGGCUCACCAAACCUUCGAUGGAUAGGGGUUCUGAGAGGAAGGUCCCCCACAUUGGAACUGAGACACGGUCCAA